rnacentral:rRNA from 1 species
CGAACGCCCCGCAAGGGGAGUGGCAGACGGGUGAGUAACGCGUGGGAACGUGCCCUAAGGUACGGAACAACUCCGGGAAACUGGAGCUAAUACCGUAUGUGCCCGAGAGGGGAAAGAUUUAUCGCCUUGGGAUCGGCCCGCGUCUGAUUAGCUAGUUGGUAGGGUAACGGCCUACCAAGGCUACGAUCAGUAGCUGGUCUGAGAGGAUGGCCAGCCACACUGGGACUGAGACACGGCCCAG